UACGGGGGGAGCAAGCGUUGUUCGGAUUUACUGGGCGUAAAGGGCGCGUAGGCGGCCACCGCAAGUCGGUUGUGAAAUCUCCGGGCUUAACCCGGAAAGGUCAACCGAUACUGCGGGGCUAGAGUGCAGAAGGGGCAACUGGAAUUCUCGGUGUAGCGGUGAAAUGCGUAGAUAUCGUAAGGAAGACCAGUGGCGAAGGCGGGUCUCUGGACAGUUCCUGACGCUGAGGCACGAAGGUCAGGGGAGCAAACGGG
rnacentral:rRNA from 1 species